ACGACUGUAGCUUAGCGGUAAAGCACAUCACAAUUCACAUUUGUCUUGAAUGUCUGUUCGACUCAGGCCAGUCGUG